rnacentral:rRNA from 1 species
AAGAACGCCCGGGCUUCGGCCUGGUUAUUCAUAACCCUUUGUUGUCCGACUCUGUUGCCUCCGGGGCGACCCUGCCUUCGGGCGGGGGCUCCGGGUGGACACUUCAAACUCUUGCGUAACUUUGCAGUCUGAGUAAACUUAAUUAAUAAAUUAAAACUUUUAACAACGGAUCUCUUGGUUCUGGCAUCGAUGAAGAACGCAGCGAAAUGCGAUAAGUAAUGUGAAUUGCAGAAUUCAGUGAAUCAUCGAAUCUUUGAACGCACAUUGCGCCCCCUGGUAUUCCGGGGGGCAUGCCUGUUCGAGCGUCAUUUCACCACUCAAGCCUCGCUUGGUAUUGGGCAACGCGGUCCGCCGCGUGCCUCAAAUCGUCCGGCUGGGUCUUCUGUCCCCUAAGCGUUGUGGAAACUAUUCGCUAAAGGGUGUUCGGGAGGCUACGCCGUAAAACAACCCCAUUUCUAAGGUUGACCUCGGAUCAGGUAGGGAUA